GACGAACGCUGGCGGCGUGCUUAACACAUGCAAGUCGAACGCUGUGGCGAACGGGUGAGUAAUACGUGGGUAACCUGCCCUCCUUUUUGGGAUUAACCUUGGAAACGGGGUCUAAUACCGUAUAAUGGGGGAUGGGGUCGAGGCGUAUCAGCUUGUUGGUGGGGUGAUGGCCUACCAAGGCGGUGACGGGUAGCUGGUCUACGAGGGUGACCGGGCACAUGAGGACUGAGAUACGGCCCAGAGUCCUACGGGAGGCAACAGUGGGAGAUAUUGCACAAUGAGCGGGAACCUGAUGCAGCGAGGGCGAGUGGGGGAUGAAGGGUUUCAGGUUGUAAACCUCUUGAGCUGUGGAACGGGUAGGUGGAGAAGAAGCACCGGCUAACUACGUGACAGCAGCCGCGGUAAUAC
rnacentral:rRNA from 1 species